GCGGCGGUCGCCAUUGCUCUGCGCGAGGGACUCGGGGGUGAUGUGUUCGGCUACCCAGAAGGGGUUGCGGGUUCUUCGGUCGAAUGCGCUUGUGAGCGGGAGGCUGGUAACUAUGUCUGCCACUGGGCCGGGGAAGCCAUAUUGGAACAGGCCGGCGGGGUCGACUGGGGAUUUUGGAGAAAGGGACGGUUGGAGGACGGGGGAUUUGGGAUGAGGGGUUGGAAUUGAUGUGGUUGGGGUUGCUGUAGCCGGUGGUGGAAGACGUGAACCUAGCUGCUGUUGGCGGUUCUUAGAGGAGUACAUAAACGCAGUGAGAGCAGCGCCAGUCGCCGCGCUGGCAGCUGCUAUCAUAGCAACGGUAGCUUUGGACAUGAUUGCGAUUUGUACCCUUUUUUUUAUCCCAACUGCCCUGGUGAGGAUAUCAAAUGAGCGGCA
rnacentral:sRNA from 1 species